GGGCCUGUAGCUCAAUUGGUAGAGCAUCCGCCUUGCACGCGGAAGGUCAGCGGUUCAAAUCCGCUCAGGUCCA
rnacentral:tRNA from 1 species